rnacentral:rRNA from 1 species
GAUUAACGCUAGCGGCAGGCCUAAUACAUGCAAGUUGUACGGGAUUAUUGGUAGCAAUACUGAUAUGAGAGUAGCGCACGGGUGCGUAACACGUAUGCAACCUACCUUUAACUGGGGAAUAGCUCACCGAAAGGCGAAUUAACACCGCAUAAAAUCACAGAAGGACAUCCUUUAAUGAUUAAAUCUCCGGAGGUUAAAGAUGGGCAUGCGUCCGAUUAGCUAGUUGGCGGGGAAUAGCCCACCAAGGCAACGAUCGGUAGGGGGUCUGAGAGGAUGAUCCCCCACACUGGUACUGAGACACGGACCAGACUCCUACGGGAGGC